UACGGAGGGUGCGAGCGUUGUCCGGAAUCACUGGGCGUAAAGGGCACGUAGGCGGCCUGAUAAGUAGGGGGUGAAAUCCUGCGGCUUAACCGCAGGGCUGCCUUCUAAACUGUCAGGCUAGAGCACGGUAGAGGCAGAUGGAAUUCCCGGUGUAGCGGUGGAAUGCGUAGAGAUCGGGAAGAACACCGGUGGCGAAGGCGGUUAGCUGGGCAGUUGCUGACACUGAGGCGCGACAGCGUGGGGAGCAAACAGG
rnacentral:rRNA from 1 species